GGGCUGUUAGCUCAGUGGUAGAGCGUCUGCCUUACAAGCAGAGGGUCACUGGUUCAAGUCCAGUACAGCCCA
rnacentral:tRNA from 2 species